AAAAUGAAUGAGUCUGCCUCGGUUUCCAAGGACAGAAGGCCGAGCUCUCCAGUAAUGUAUGUGACUCCCCUCUUGUAGUUUUCUCUGAAUUACACAGCUUCCUCCAGCAUCUUCCCAUUCCAGCCCCUUCCCAGACCUGCACCUGCUUCCUGGCCCAGAGCUCAUGAGGUGAAAAUCACUCUCAGGGAGAAGCAGUUAAAGUCAUGUACAUCCAUUUGUACCGGUAACUUCAUGGAAGAAAGAAUGCAGAGUGAUCUUCUAGGAAAGUGAUAUCCUCAUGUGGAUCUUGA